rnacentral:rRNA from 1 species
UACGGAGGGGGCAAGCGUUGUUCGGAUUUACUGGGCUUAAAGGGCGCGUAGGCGGCUUUGUAAGUUACUUGUGAAAUCUCUGAGCUUAACUCAGAACUGCCAAGUAAUACUGCAGGGCUAGAGUACAGAAGAAGCAACUGGAAUUCUUGGUGUAGCGGUGAAAUGCGUAGAUAUCAAGAAGAACACCUGAGGCGAAGGCGGGUUGCUAGGCUGACACUGACGCUGAGGCGCGAAAGCUAGGGGAGCAAACAGG